GAAAUGGCCAAAUGUAAUCUUGGAUUCCAACUACCUCUGGGUGUGUACACAAGGUUGAGAUGAGUAAGAAACUGGGAACUUGCUUGAGGAGAACUUGGAACUAUGAAAAGGUUGAGGGUCCUGAGAUUGGAAGUCUAAAGCUAGGAAGACAGGGUGAGUUAAACAUUAGAGUUGUCAGAGAGGCAUUUAUUGAUUAACUCAAAUUAAUUUUAAUGAUCACUCCCAUUAAAACCGUGUCAUCUCCUGCUCAUCCUUUACAGUCAGUACCUUUCCCUGGUGAGUUUUUUGUUUGUUUGUUUUAUGCUUGUUUUUGUUUGCUAAUUUUUGUUUGUUUGCUUGUUUGUUUUGCUUCUAUUCUUCUGCUGUGUGUGCACCAUGUAUUGUAAAUCACCACUGCCUGCCUGUGGUGGUUUUAAUAGCUGUAGCCCCCAUAGACUCAUGUGUCUGAAUGCUUGGCCCAUAGGGAGUGGCACUAUUAGGAGAUGUGUCCUCGUUGGAGUAGGUGUGACCUUGUUGAAGGAAGUGUGUCACUGUGGGGGCCUAGCUUUGAAAUCUCAUAUACUGAAGCUAUACCCAAUGUGGUACACAGUCUCCUUCCACCAUACUUCCCACUAUGACAAUAAUGGACUAAAACUCUGAAGUCAACCCCAAUUAAAUAUUGUCCUUUAUAAGAGUUGAUUUAGUCGUGGUGUCUCUUCACAGCCAUAGAAACCCUAACUAAGACACUGUCUAUGUGUGCUAGUGGUUAACCUAUAAACCCCUGAGGACAGAGUCUCUCAUCUACUCCCUUUGUAUUCCCAGGGCUUAACUGAGUAAGUGCUCUUAGCACAUUACUGAAUGGAUAUGCUAUAAAGCCCAGACACUCAAUAAUAAUGUAAAGCUUCAAAAAGGUAUGGCUGCUUACGGUAGUUUGAAUGAGAACUUUCCCUCAUAGGCUCAGGUAUUUGGUACCUAGUCAGUGGUGCUGUUUGGGGGUGGGGUUAUGGAACUUUUAGGAAGUGUAGCCUUGCUGGAGAAAGUCCAUCACUGGGAUGGCCUUUAUUCAUUUACAGCUUUGUUUCACUUUGAGUUUACUCUCUCUGCUUCCUGUUUGCAGUUGAGAUGGUGUCUCUCAGCUUCCCGAUCUCACUGACUGCUGCUGUGCCGACCGUGCCUUCCACCUUCUCUGGAACCACAAGUUAAGUGCUUUCUUCUAUAAGUUGCUUUUGGUCCUGGCGUUUGAUCACGGUAACAGAAAAUAACUGAUACAGCUGGUGGAAUACCGGGAGAUUUGAGGUUGCUGCUCUGAAGAGUCCAGCCAUGUUGUAUUUUAGAGGAAUUUGGAAGAACUUGGAACUAGAAAAACAGUUUGAAUAUGAGUAGAGCUUAAUGGGCCAUUCUAUAGGAGCCUAAAACACAGUAACACUGAGAGUGAUACAUAUGUACUUUGAUGGCUCCCCUCAUGAAGUUUCAGAAGGAAGGAAGGACUUUAACAGGAACUGGGCUGGAGGUCAGUCCUGUGAUAUUUUGGCAAAGAAUUUUGCCUCCUUCUUUCUUUGUUCUAAGAACUUACCUGACACUAAAUUUAAAAGCAAUGGGAUAAUUCCUUUGAUGGAGAAAAAUCUCAAGAGAGCAUAGUGUUGAAUCUUUGUGGUUGUUACUGAGCACUCUUAUGAAGGUCAAUGAUGAAAAAAGAACAAGUGUAUCAGAAAGAAACAUACGUGUAGCUUGGAAAGAAAUGAACAUUAGGAAAUUUAAUAUUACAGCCAAAGCAUGUGCUGGCAGAAAGCCUGUAAAUAACAAGGAGUUUAGCACCACUAAAGCAAGGCCUUCUGUUCUACAUUGGAACCAGGGAAAAGGUGCCUUCAAGAUGAUACCCCACAUAGCUAAGCUUUCAACUUGUGAAAGGAAAAGAUCUAAGGAGUUUUGGGCUGCUAAAUAAAAUAAUAAUAAUAACAAUAACAAUAAUAAUAACAUACAAGUACUGCCAUAAGCAUGAUUCAAGGGGGCAAGUGUCCACCCCAAGCUGGCAGUUGACCUGUCAGUGCCAUCUAUGUGGUACUGACUGGCUUUGGAGGCAUGGAAGAGGUAGGAGUGAUAAGGUAUGGAUUCUUCCUCUGUGAAUUCAAAGAGCUGCCAAGGUCAAGCAACACACAGUGAGGGUCCUGGGAGGGUGGAGAGGGGCUCUUGGAUGAAGCUGUAGAACUGAAGCUUGAAUUGAGGUGGAGACUCCAAGAUGCCAGUGACACAAGAGCUGUGAAACAUCUGCUAAGAAGAGCUGCACACGCACAGAGGGACCAGCCCAAGGGAGAGGUGUGUACGUUACAGGUAGCAAACCCAGAUGACUUGAACCAUCUCAGCCGUGUGCAACUGAAGCUCCAGACCCUCGAGCUGCAGGAUUUGAUUUGUGUCCUGAGGAAACUUAGUCUUGCUGUGUGUGGUCCAGCAUUUCCUCACUUUGCCCCCAUACCUCCUCCUUUUCGGAAUGGAGAUUUAUAUACUGUGCCCUUGUAUACUGGAAGUAUGUUACUUUCUUUUGUCACUUUAUAGAAAGUCACAGUCAAAAGAUUGCUUUGUGUCUCAAGAGAGACUUUGGCCUAUUAAACAGGGUUGAGACUGUUAAAGACAAUGGGGGAAUUUUAAAGGUUGGAUAAAGACGUUUUGCAUUGCCACAUAACUGUGAACCUUUGGGGGCCAAGGAGUAGAAUGUGCUAGUUUGAAUAAGGAACGUUCCCUGUAGGCUCAGGUAUAUGAAUACGUGGUCCCCAUUUAGUGGAACUGUUUGGGAAGGUAAUGGACCCUUCAGGAAGUAGAGCCUUGUUGGAGGAAGUAUGUCCCUGGGGGUGGGCUUUGAGAGUUUAUAGCCUCAUCCUACUUCAAGUUCACUCCAUCUACCUUGUGUUUGCAAGUGAGAUGUGCUCAGUCAGCUCUGGUUACCUACUGCCAGGCCUUCCUUAUUGUCAACUCCCACUCUGGAACCAUAAAUCAAAGUAAACUCUUCCAUAAGAUACUUUUGGUCGUGAUAUUUUAUCACAGCAACAAAAACAUAGCAAAUGCACAGCUGCAGAAUUCCUUGAGUGAUGGCCUCUUCUCCCCCUGCUCUGAAGUCCCAGCUAUUACAGGCAUGGCUAGGGAGUCCUUGGAAGCAGCACUGUAACUGGCUGACAGAAGGUAGAAGGAGUUAAGACAACGCUGAGACAAUCCUACAUUAAAUUACAGAGUUGUUUAGACUGUUGGGUUACAAAUGGGCCCCCAUUCUUAAAAAUCUGGUGUGCAAAUAUGCAGCCCUCAAUCAGCUAAGUAGCUCUCUUAAUAAUGUAAAUCCCAGUGUUGGUAGAGGCUUUGCAUAUUCUCACCCUACUGCUUUCACAGAAAUUACAUUUGUGUUACAAUGGAAUGUAAAACCGGAAAACACAUUUUAAAAAUGAUCCUUUCACUAGCACAUGAUGUGCUGCCAAACCAAUGGGAAGUGAACGUGUUAAGCUUUCUGGGUAAUUAUUAUUUAAUUAGUUUGUACUUUGGACUAAUAACUGGGAAUGGAAUUUGGUAUUCGCAGCACACGCACUUAGAGGGCAGGGGUAGAUGGUUCUAUUACUCCAUUCUGGAAGAUGAUUAUCAGUUUAGGACUGGAAUCCUGCAUGAGAGAUCUUGUUGGUCUAUCACUUGGUUAUCUAACCAGUUGAUGAGCCCCCGAAAGACUGAGGUGUGGGGCUCUGUAAAGAAAAUAGAGCUGUCUAUGAAUGAACACUGAUGAAUGUGUUAGGACAGCCCAAAUCUCCCAGAGAAAGUGUGAAGAAUGAUAGUACUCAAGACUCCAUUUCACAGUGGGUCUUCUGGGCUGUCAUGGGGAAAAAGAAGACAUUUAUGAGACCUAAUCCCUUUCCAAAAGAACAACUGGAUGUCUACUCUAGACUCGUGAGAAGCCAUAGCCCAGCACAUUACUCAUGGGCCAUCUGAUUUUCUAUCUCUUUCUCUCUCCACCCACACCCCCACAAUGGAUUAGCAACUGAAUUGGAAGACAACAGUAUUCCAUGGAGAAUAAGCUUGUCAAGUCAGACUUUGGAGUUGUCCAGGCCUGGGUUCUGGUUUCAGAUUUAUCCUUUCUGGAAAAAUGACCUUGAAGGGAGGACCUGAUUCUUUGGUCUUCCUAUCUUGAGGCUGAUGAGUCUACUUACAUCAGCUUUAGACUUAGUAAGAGGAUUAAGUCAACUGUUAAAGACUUCAGUUUAGGAAAUAGAUGAGUAGAUAACACUCAAUAAAGAAUUCCUAAAACUUUCAUAUACAAUUGUAAAUUUUCUUUUAAAUUAGGUGAAUUAAGUACCUUUUGGUUCCUGUGAUAAAACACCAGUUUGUUUUGGUUUAGGGUUCUACCGGGAUAAGAGGCAGGGAGGCAUGUGAAUAUGGUGGCUUGAACAGAAAACUGGGUGCACACAUAGUAACUGCAGGCAGAAAGCAGAAAGCCAGUAGGUGGCUCAAGGUUCUUUAAUCUCAAAGCCUACUCCUGAGUAAUAAAUUUCCUUCAGUAAGGUUUGUACCAUCUAAGCCUCCCCCAAAAAGUGCUGUAAGAGUCCGUCGGAAGACCCCCACUCAAUAAGGCCACAGAGACCGGAAUCGCUGCAAUCCGCAAGGGGUUUAUUGUUCCAAUGUAUGUUGCAGUUCCCCAGCAAGCAGGCAAGAGAAGACCCCUAGCUCACAAAGCACACACUUUUUGUAAACAUUUUUGGCUGGGAAUUCAGCAGUCACCUGAGCUGAAAGGCUGCGAUUGGUUACCCUGAGCAACAUUUAAAAUUAUUGGUCAACUCGAAUGGGAAGGUUGUCUCCUUCAUUUGGCCCUGUCUUGCCCAUCCUGUGGAAUUUGUGGUAUUUCCUGGCAUUGUCUUUUCUCUGAGUCACUUCCCUCUCUGUCCUCGCCCUGCCUAGUUCCCUGUUUAGGCCAUUUCCUUAUCUAUCCUUAACCUAGGCAGGGUGGUGGUCUGCUAUUUCUGACAGGGUUCUCAUAGUGCCACCAAAUGGGGACUGGGUGUUGAAAUGCCAAGACUACAGGGGACAUUCUCAUUUAAACCACCUCACACAACUAUUCCAGCAAUAAAUAGUUAGACCCAGAAAUAACUAGAAAGCAGAAUUCUAGGAUGUAAUCUAGUGCUUAGUAACAAAUUACUUUAAAACUUGGUAUGCUGAGACAUAUACUGUAAACAGUAUGUGGGUCAGGAAUUGAAAAGUGUUUGGUGUUUGAUUCAGAGACUGUACUCACCAGGCUACAGUGUCCUGAGGGUUUGACUGGGACUGGAAGGUAUGCUCUUAAAAUGGCACACACAUACAACUUUUGGCAGGAGGCUUCAGGCCAUAUGCAUCUCCCAGCAGAGCCAAAGAAGAGCCCUGACAAUGUGGUAACAACUGGCUUUCCCUGGGAGAGGAAACAGGAGGAAACCCAAGCCGUCCCCCAUCACGCCCAACCUUUUCUGUUUGUUAGAAACAAGUCAUUAAUACUAGCUCAUUCAAGAGGAGGCUGAUUAGUUUCCACAUUUGAACAGAAAUAGGAAGCAGUGCAGGUAACAUUUACUUAAGCAUGAAGAUGGACUUGGUGGCCUGGAGGCAAGUGUGUGGGAGCUAGGGACUCUGAAAAUAUUACCCCUCAAGGGCUGCACUGUCAGUGGGAGAGUACGACUCACACACAGUGUUUGUCUACCUGCACAUUAGCUUUGAGAAGUUGUACUCCAACGUACACUACCACACAGACUAAAGCCCCCAAAUGAAGAAUGGUGUCAAGUAAUUUCUCUCUGAAGAGCACAGUCAUUAAGUAAUUAUUAGGUUUCAAGGAACUUGGGGUGAUAAUCAGAAAUUGCUGUUACAAAAAUGUAAUAAUGUCAGCCAAAACGGCCAAGAGACAAGAAGACAACUAGAGAUGUUAAGCUGAUCCCAAAAGAACUGGGGUGAAGUUGACCCGGGGUUCCAGGCAAACUGUUACAACAAAUAAACGGGUGUGUUUCAGAUGGUCCUUUAGCGGGAUCCCGGUGUGAGUCUGGAGAUAGUAUCAGUCAGUUUAGCAUCUGGACUGAGGAUGGAAACACAAGAGCUACUUCAGGAGGGCAUGAGAUGGAAGAGUACAGAGAGUGAAGGGGUAAAGGGCAAUGAAUCUGUCCCUCAAGAAGCCAUAAAGCAAGCCAAAAAAAUAUAGUACUGUGCUUCCUUUGGCCAUUACAAUGGCCAGCCAUGUUUUUGUACAUGUCCAACGAGCGCUGCCAUUGCCCUAUAUCAGCCAUGGUGACAAAUGGCAAGGAGGUGAAAGUGAACUUGAGCCAGUGACUUUCUACAUUGUAGCUGCAGAAAUUCAAAUUCUGGAUUUAAACAGAGCUUUAUUCAUUUAUUUAGUUUUUGCUGUGGUUUUUAGACAGGUUCUCAUUAUGGCCCUAGCUUGCCUGGAACUCAAUACAAAGACCAGAUUGGCUUCAGAAAAAAAAAAAAUCAUAGAGAUCUCUCUGACUCUGCCUUCAAACUUCUGGGAUUAAAGACAUGAACUUCCAGGGCCAGAUAGGUUAUUCAUUUAGUGAGAAUUACUUUGUUGAUGAUAUUAGAAGGGGAUGAUCUUGGGAAGCAAUAUGGUUCAAUUUCUGAUUUCCAAUUUUAAAAUUGUGCUUGUGUUUGGGGGUGGAGAGUAGGGCAUGCUGAAACAAUGGCAUGGAUAGGAAAGUCAGAGAACAGCUUGUAGGAGUUGAUUCUCUCUUUCUACCAUGUGGGUCCCAGGGAUCAAACUCAGAUCAUUCAGGCGUGGUGGCAAGAACCUUUUCUUGUUGAACCAUCUCUUCCCUUUCCCCAUUCCAGUUUCCUAAUUUUAAAGUCCUAGGAAAUCAAGACCUAUAAUUAGAAGCACUAGAACUAGAUUCGAUUUCAUACUGAAAAUUCCUCCUGUGAGGUAGAAGAGAGCUAGGCAGUCAUCUAGAAGCAUUAUCCCAUCCAGGGUCUCCCCACAUGGAUUUUUGCAAGUCUGAUGAUCCCAGCAACUCACCUUCUUAGUUGGAAAACUGUGGCCCGCCAGGGCUAUGAUCAGAAGACCUGUCUACCUAGGGAGCCUGUAGGCUCAUUGAGGGAAUUAGAUCUCCUAUAUUUUUGUCAGUUUGGAGAGUUGAUUACAUAAAUAGAUAUUUAUUGAGCAUGCUCAGUAUGUAUACCUGAUCUAAUGUUGAUAUUGGGUUGCUAGCUGUACUGCCCAAUGAGAACAGGCUAUUGUAAGAACAUUGCAUGUACACAGUUACAAAGUACUUGCGCAAACUUGGUGAUCUCUCUAUUUUAAAUGAUCAUACUCUCAAUCUGAAAUUGAAAAAUGGUGAGGGUGAUAAAUUAGUAACUUGUCUUAUUCCUGUGACAAAAUAUCCAAAAGAAAGCAACUAAAGGAGGAAAGUGUUUCUUUCACCCCACAGUUUGAGUGUACAGUCCAUCAAAAUGGGGAAGUCCUAGGGGCUGUUGAAGUAAAUAGUCUUGUUGCAUCCAGUCAGGAAGCAGGGGGAGAUCAAUGCUGGCUCUCAGCACAUUCUAUCAUUUCUAUUCAGCCUUGGAACAGUGAUGCCACAGUUAGGGCAGGUCUUUCAAACUCAACCCAAUCAAAAACCAAAACAACAUCGACAAGAACAACAAAAACCCCUUUCAUGGACAUUCUUAGACGUUGGUCACUCAAGCGAUUCCCAAUCCUGUCAACUUGGCAGUCAUUGCUAACCAACACGAUGCGCAUGCCUUUUGAGUGCUUGCCUUUUGGGUUGCAUCCCAGAGUGUGUUUUGAAACUGCUGAGUGUAGUGAGAUCAUUUGGUGUGCUUCACGCUCCCUGCCGUUGCCUACUCCCAGUGCUGGGAAGUAUAAGACGGCUUUUCAUUAGGAAUUGGGUCCAGCCAUCUGGAAAGCCUAGUGAGCAGGUUACAUAAUGCCAAUUACCUCAUUAGUCUCCCGUGCUGUUUCCGGAACUUCCUCUUACAUAGAAGUCCCAUCUGAUCUCGGGCAGCUUGCAACCAACUAGACAACAGUUUCGUUUUACAGGGUCUUUCAUUGAACCUGGAGCUCAUCAACUCCAAAGGACUAGCUGACCUGACCAAUAGGUUCUGGAAAGCCUGCUGACUUUGCCUUCCCAGCACUGGGAUUGUGAGCGCACUUAGCUUGCCGUGUCUGCCUCUUGAGCCUUUUGUGUUCCUGGUCCAGAAUGGCAAUCUGAAGGAAGCAGUCAUGCAGACACUCUGGGAGAGUACAUGCUGGCACAGUGUGUUAGCAUGCUAUGCCCCUGCUGGCUGAUGGCUCAGACAGUGCAAAUGAGAAGACAGAGAAGCCCCUCUUCAGCAUGCCUUCACUGUUGAUGAGAAGGCUUCUCAAGCCUGGAGCUCUGCACUUUUUAGAUGCUCAUCCAAGCCUCUGUGGCCUAGGCAUUUGGGCAUAAACACCUGGCAAUGGAAACUUUUCUUCUCUCCUAAUUUUAUAAUGUAAGCCUGGAUCAUGGCUUGUUCUCCUCCAUUUGCCUAGAAACCAGCACUACUUACAGAGAAGACUCCUAGUCUCAUUCUCCUUAAGUUACCACAUAUGGACGUAUGGGUGGUAUCUUUCCGUUGGUAUCUUAUGUGUGUAUGUGAGUGUGUGUAUUCAUGUGUGCAUAGAGCAGUAAAUAAUCUCAGCUGCCAUUCUUCAGACACUAUCCACCAUUAGGGAUAAACAAUGAAACAGAGUUUCUCCCUGACCUGGAACUCACCAACUAGGCUAGGACGGCUGGAAAGUAUGCCCUAGAGAGCUACAUGUGUCUGUCUUUGUGGCUAUGGGAAUCCAAUUGUGAUCCACUGUGUUCCAGCUUUUGUUCCUGGCAUUUUAAAAAUGGAUUCUGGGGGCGGGCUGGAGAGAUGGUUCAGUGGUUAAGAACACUGACUGCUCUUCCAGAGGUCCUGAGUUCAAUUCCCAGCAACCACAUGGUGGUUCACAACCAUCUGUAAUGGAAUCUGAUGUCCUCUUCUGGUGUGUCUGAAGACAGCAACAGUGUACUUACAUAUGAUAAACAGCCAAAUAAAUAAAUGGAUUCUGGGGGGUCAAACUUGGGUCCCCAUUCCUGCAUGUCCAGCAUUUUACUGACCAAGCCAUCCUCUCGACCCCUGGCCCCUGCUUCUAGCAUCUUUACUCUGUUCCAUUGAUCUGUGUACAUCUUAACAGAACUCACUGCCUGUAUUGUUACAACCACUCAGGAAGAUUUGAAAUUAAGAAGACUUUGUCCUGCUACUUUGUUCUUUUUCUAAUUUUUUUGGGAGGUAUCUUAUCCUUUUCCUAUUGUAUAUAAAUGUUACAGUUGACUCAUCAAUAUCAAUAGAAGAUCCUUUUGGGUUUUUAUAGAGAUUUUUUUUUGACCCUCUAGAUGAAUUUGAAAACCAUGUUAACAAGUUAGUCAAUCCAUGAACAUAGAAAUCUCUCUGGUUUUGUUGUUGUAUUUUUGAAGUCAGUAUUUUUUUUUUGUAGUUUUUAGUUUUUAGGAUACUAAUUCUUUACUUGAUACUAUUGUACAUAAUAAUCGAUGAGAAUGUUUUUACUCAUCGAUUCUAAUUUACACAGAAGGGUACAACUAAGCUGUUUAUAUUUACCAUGUGUCUUUCAGCCUUGCAGAGCUCACCUAGUUCUAUGGUCUCUUUGGCAUAAUCUUGAAGAUUCUGGAUUAUAAACAGACAGUUCUGUUAUCCAUGGCUAGAGAUUUUAACAAGUCUUUUGCAAUCUGUGUACUUCUCAUUUCUUUUAAUUGCUCAUUUUAGUCACUAGAACUUUAUGAUACAGAGCAUGGAGGAGAAGGAUGCUGCCUGCUGCCUUCAUUUUAGAAAGGGAGGCACCUGAGUUUCACUAGUCUCACCAGCUUUAGUCUCCUUCAAGUUGCCUUUUGUAUUUGCAGAACACAAGUUUAUAAUUGAGAGUAGAUGUUGAACUUUGUUUUUAAAAAGUCUCAGUACUAAUUCUGAUAAUCAAUUAUUAUCUUUCUUUUAGGUACUCUAUUACAUUUUAGAAAUUUAAAGGGAAAAAUUGUUCUAUCCAGAACAUUUAAUUUUAAUCUAAGUGUUUAAUAUAAAUCUAAGUUUUUGUCUUAUGCCCUAUUCUUUCUGCCUAAGACCUUUGGUAACUUUUUAUACAGGAUAGAUAUACUGGCAAUAAGUCAUACAUUUCUUUCUUAAUAUUAAAAAGUAUUUAUUUUCCUCCAUCCUUUAAGUAUAAUUCUCCAAGGGUAGUAUUUAGGCUACCAUUUUCUUGUUCUUUUGACUUAUUUUUUGUUCUAAUAAAUAUUUGUUUUAUACUUUCCAAAAAAUAAAUCUGAAUUAUUUUUUGUUCUAAUAAAUAUUUGUUUUAUACUUUCCAAAAAAUAAAUCUGGUAUAAUUCAUAACCUUGUCAA